UCAGCUCCAAAACCCCUUUCUUUUGCUCCAAGACUCAAUCCAUCAAAUAUUCUUUCCUGAAAUAUAAUAAUAUGCAAUUGAAGUAAAAUAGCUCUAAAAGGAAAUAAUAUUAAAAUAAAAUAAACUUAAAUCUAAUUAAAAUGAAACUAAAUAUUAUACUAAAAUAGAUAAUUAAUGACUCAUUCAACUCCCCCACACUUGAAUCUUUGCUUGUCCUCAAGCAAAAGACAUAAACAUAGUAACAAUAAACAGGAUUAUAUAUGACAAUUCAAUCAAAACUCAUGUCUCCUCAAAGGCUUUAAUUUCAAGCGUACACUAAUUACAAACUCAAGCAUUUCUUAUAAUCUUUAUUCAACCCAACAAUCAAGUUCUAAGUGAGUGUGUGUGCGUGUAGUCCAACCCUUUUCUUGCUCCUGUAUAAGAUAGAUAUUAUGAGGAAACAAGUUCUAAUCCUAGCAUUAAACCAACCGAGAAAAGUCCUUUCUUCAUUUCGUAUAAGAGAGAUGAGAAUUAUCUAGAUUUAUUUGACAACUUUAGGUGCCUUGGGGACUGCAGAUUGCUUAGGGGAUACCAUUUUCUCAUAGGAAGUCUGCGAGGGGGUAUCCUUUCCUCCUAGAUUCCAUGAUCACCCUAAGUAGUGCUGCAAAUUUAUAAGUUAAAAGACAUCAUCUUUACGUAGAAAGUCAGUGAGGGGGUAUCCUUUCCUCCAUGUGCCAAUGAUGCCUUAUAAUUGUGCAAUUAAUUCUUUCCUUCUUUUAGAAGGAUUUAUGGCUACUUUGAGUUAUUAGAGAAACAUCACCUUCUCGUAGGAAGUUAGCGAGGGGGUAUCCUUUCCUCCAUGAUCCAGUGAUGCCUCUUUUACAAUUAAAUUAGCUUCCGCCCCAUUUUGAUUUAUCUAUUUAUUCCCCACACAAACUUAUACUACUUUUACUCUAAAGACUUUUAAAGGUUAACGUACCACUAAAAUUAGAACGUGCUUCCUUAAAGUACCUAUUCAUACACUUGCUCAAGGGAUGCAACUUGUGCUUUUCUCAUUGGAGAAUUAUCCACAAUAAAACAAGAUGUGGGUUUAUCAAGAAAACUUAAAACACAAGUGUUCACUUUCAUGUAGAAGAAACAACCAGCUUAGAGGAGACAACAAAAAUUUAUGUCAUAAUUUUCAAUAAAAAUAGGCUACUUAAUCAUGCCUUUCACAAUUAAACAAAACAAAAGAAUAAAGUUCAAGGGAGUUUGGAACACUACGACUCAAGACACUUUAUUAGCCCCCCCCCCCCCCCCCACACACACACACACACACACACACACACACACUUGGGAGAAGCAUUGUCCUCAAUGAUUCAAAACAAGAAAAAUAAGAGGGAAGAGAAGAAGAAGAAUGAGUAUGAGGAGAAAGAGAUAAGGGAAGAGAGGAAGAUGAAAGCUCAUAUUAUCAUUGAGGUCCAUAAGGAUGACCUUGGAGGUGGAAGUGUUGCAUCAUGCUCCGAAGCAUUUGAUUAUUCUCUUCGGAGAUGCGGUUUCCCCUAAGGACAUCAUUUCGUAGCCCGGAUAAUUCAAUACCUUGCCUUUGUUGCUCGGUGUGUAUCCAUGCCCAUCUUUCAUUUUCAUUGUUUCCUCCGGCAUCAUGGUCAUGUUGCUCCUCAUCAUGGUGCAAGUGUGCACCUUCCUCUUCUCCAACAUUGUGCUCUUCAUGUACCUGUGAACCUUCACCAACAUAUAUCAAAUUUUCUUCCACCUCGGUGUUAGUCCGAGAUGGGUUAGGAAGUAUAAUUAAAAUAGGCACAUUGAGUUUGAGUGUAUAGGUCAUGGGUGGACGAUGCUUAAUGAAGUUCAUAGAGAUAAGGGUCUAUAUGUUAAACCUAUUGUUUCCCUCAAUCUUGUUUAUCCCUUGGUCCUCACCCACUCUCAAUUGCCCAGCUAUGAAGGUAAUGAUACCACCUAUCACUAUCUCAGCUCUAUUGUUAGGUCUAGCACCUAGAGAGGCAAGGUAAUCAAGUAAGUAGAAACAAGUAUUCAUAAGGUUGUUACUGAGAAUUGCCCAAAGCAUAAAGAGUUUAUCCGUCCUAGUUGUUCCUACCUCUUUCCUACCCUAAAUGGUACAAGCCAUGACUCUUUGAAGGUACCUAAGCACGGGGUUGUGAAUGUUACUAGCCUUAUUGGAACGAGGAUUGUAUUGUCGUAAACCGGUAAUGCGUUUCCAAAAGCUAGCGGGGUCAUAGUCUUCCGGCUUGAGAUCUUGAUUCAAAGAGUCAUGGAUGAACCCCACAUUGGCGAAGCCCGUCUCUAAGCAAAAAUUUUCAAGAGUCAUCUUGUAAUCAACAUUCAAAAGCCGGAAGGAGACUCUAUGAUCGGCGUUAUCAAAAUUCAUCCUAUCUUUCUUGAAUUCAAUAGAACUCAAGAACUCAUAAGUGAAAUUUUCAAACUCCUUCAUAGGUCUAAGUAUUUCAACCCAUCCUAGGUUUCCUAGCAAGUUAAACACGUUCUCUCUAAUUCCUAGCACAUCCAAACUAUAAGAAUCAGGGUAUCUACAAGGGUGUAAAGGUUUAGAGAUAAUAAUUUUAUACCUAUCCUUUUGCUUGUUAUCCUUGAAAAUUAUGCCAUGAUUCUUUGUUGGUGCUUUCUUCUUUGAAGGAGUCCCCCUGAAUAGCUUGCUCCUUCCUUUCCACCUCUCCUUGAAGCCAUUUUCCUUGACCAUGGUUGACUUUGUGUGGUUUUGGUGAAGGUUGGGUUUUGGGUGGAAAAGGUUGGAUUAGUUAUGGAAUUAAGGUUUAAGUAAAUUUUAAGAGUUAGGUUGUGGAAAUUGAUGAUGAAUUUGUGGGUUUUGGGUUAGGUUAAUGAAGGCUACGAAUUUGGUUGAUUUUAUGUUUGGGUGGAUGAAAGUUGUCUUUGAUUGGAGGGUUAUGGUUGUAAUGAUGUUUGGGAUUGAUUGGGUGAAGAAAUUGUGAAUUGGUGAAGUUUUGAUGGAGAUAUGAAGGUUUGAAGGUUGUUGGAUAUGGAAAUUUUAGAGAGAAGUUUGAAGGAGGAGAGAUGUUUGUGUUGGAGAAUGAGGGAAGAAGAAGUCAAAAAAAAUGUGUAUAUGCUUACCUGGGGUCGGGCACGGCCGUGCCAAGCUUCUAGUGUUUUGUAUGUUUGGACAUGGCAAGGGAUGGCACGCCCGUGCCAGUGAGAGCACGGGCCGUGCCAAGCUUUUGGAGUUUGGGGCUUCAAAAUUUUUCAUUUUCUUGAAUCAUGCUUGGACUAUUACCUACAAAAUAACUUAAAACAACAAAAAAACAAACAAAAUAAAAGCAGUUAAAUGCGUGGGUUGCCUCCCACGAAGCGCUCCUUUAGAGUCAUUAGCUUGACGGUUAUAAAGUGUCCUUAGAAAGGAUCAAAGAGAUCAUAUUGUAUAGAUGACGCUAAGAAGCGUUCUUUCACAUCAUGAUCUUUAAUCAUGCAAUAAGAAUAAAGAGCGGGACCUUUCAUAACAUUCUCCAACUCGAAUCCUACCAUCUCAUCACUCACUUGAAAAACAAUCCUACCAUUCUUAACAUCAACAAUAGCAACCGCAGUAGCGAGAAAAAGUCUUCCUAAAAUCAUAGGGCAAUCAUGGUCCUCUUCUAUGUCAACUACCAUAAAAUCAGUCGGGAUGUACAUCCCUUCUAUCUUAACGGGGAUGUCCUCUACAUAUCCAACAGGUUGGAUAGUAGAACGACCAGCUAACUUCAAUGUCAUCUUGGUAGGUUUCAACCCUCCUAUUCCCAUCUUCUUAAAGAGGGAUAGAGGCAACAAACUAACACUAACUCCUAAGUCACACAAGGCUUUGCUUAUGGUCUCACUCCCUAUCACACAAGAGAUGGCAAAACUACCUGGGUCUCUAAGCUUUGGAGGUGGCUCCUUGAUGAUUGCACUACUGUCCCUUGUCAAAUCUAUUGUCUCUUUGUGAUCUUUAGCCUUUUCUUUGAAAAAAUUUCUUUUAAAAACUUGGCAUAUAGAGGCAUUCGAGACAAAGCUUCUUCAAAGGGAAUUUUAAUGCAAAUCUUCUUAAGUAUGUUCACAUUGAAUUGAGCCUCCAAGUUAAGCUCUUCUUAAUGGGGAAGGAGUUUUGUUCUUAUCAAGCGGUUUCUCACUUUCUAUCACAUCAUUCUCACCUAGAUGCUUAACACUUUCUCCCUUGGUAUUCUUAGAGGGGGGAUGGAACCAACUUCUAGAGAAUGGAACCAAGCGCUAGCUCUAUCCCUUAAGGAAAAGGGAAAAAGAUGAAGUCUUACGGCUUCUUGGUUCUCUUCUAUGGUGCCACUGAGUCUUAAGAAAGAAGAGAUAUGGAGAUUUGGAUCCUCAGUGGGUGAUCCAGAAAACUGAUUUUGCUGCACCAAAUUGAGUAGUGCAAACUUAAUCUCAAAGUUGUUACCCAUAACGGCGAAUAGAGGGCAGUUUUGUAGUUUUUUCUUAGGGGGCCAAAAUCGCAACAUUGAAAAAAUUAGGGGGCUAAAACUGCUAUUAAGCCUAAUAAAAACUAAACAUAAUACUUUUUUUGCAUUUUUUGAUAUAUAAAAACUAAAUAAAUAAUAAAGUAAAGACAUGCAUAUUUUUGUGAUUUUUUAUGUUGCCACUUCUUAAAAUACCAUCUAAAAGCAAAUUAAUAAAUAAUAGAAUUAAAAUAAAUUACGAAAAUAAAUAAAUAAAUAAAAGGACCGAGAAAAGAAACAAAAUGUGGUAUUUUGAAAUACCUUGAAACCAAAAGGGACAUAAAGGAGUAGAAAAAGAAGAAAAACUCGUCAACACAAGUCGAAGGAGGGAGAAGAGAGGAAAAGUACCGGAAUCAUCAACUGUGAAUUUCAGUGUGUAGAAUGCACUGUGUAAGCUCUCUAUUUAUAGAGAAAAUUCACAACUAAUAAGUGAGAAACUUUGGGAACAAGUAAUUCACAUAUUAGAUCUAGUACAAAUAUAUCUCAGUUGAGUACCAAAAUCUAUUAUAUUGAGUACCAAAAUACAUUAUUCAGUACAUAAAUUUGAUAUUCAAUACAUUAAUAUAUUAUUGAGUAUCAAUAUAUUUCAGAUAAAACACUAAAAUAUAUUAAAUUGCCUACCAAAAUAUUUCAGAUUGUGUUCCAAAAUAUUAUAGAUUGCAUUCUAAAAUAUUUUAGUAAAACUUGGGGAGAAAGAAAACACUUUUUAAUAAUGAUCAAAUUAAAUAUUUAAUUUAUCAUUUUCAAAUAAUAUUUUUUUAGUGCUUACUUCAUUCACACAAUUAUGUACUCCAUUAAUUAAAGUUACACCCCCACUAUAUAUAACCUUUGGUCAAAAAUUUUACAUCCUCAUUUAUUAAGUAAUAAUAGGAUAGUUUUUGAACAAAAAAAGUAAUAGGAUAUUUUCUUUCCUCUAAACAAAAGUAAUUAGGAUUUUUCCACGUAAUAUUUCUCAGAUUUUCCGAAGAUUGCGCAUCUCCUUGUUUCGUUUGUACUAUAUAUAUAUAUAUAUAAUACUAGAACUAAAAGAAACACAAACAUUCAAAUUGUUUGCUUCUCUUUGGAAUCGCUACGGUUCUACCGCAGCACUGCUCAAUCGAAACUAUGCUGCCGCGACAGUUGCUCUAUCAGCCCAGUUCAGCAUCGAUGGUAAUCCUCUCCAAGGAACUUAUAAUGGAAAUCUUAUCCUUGCUCCCGGUGAAACCUCUUAUGCGAUUCAGAUGCGUUAACAAGUUUUUCAAAACUCUCAUCUCCGAUCCUCACUUCGUUCAAAUGCAUCGCAAUAAAUCAAAACGAAACCCAAAGGCUAUUAAUUGGUGUGUUGUAGACUUGCCAAUUUCUCGAUUACUCGAUAUUUCAUCGGCCACCUUUCAUUAUUAUCCUUACUAUGAUCUGAACAAGGAUUACUCUAGAUGGCGGGUCAUUGGUUCAUGCAAUGGAUUGCUAUGUUUGACUUAUGAUCAUCGGCGCUGGGUCCUCUGGAGCACAGCCAAUAUGACAAAAUCAUCUGAAUUUUUUACACCUUAUUUGGUUGAUUAUUUUUCGUACUCUUUUGGCCAUGAUAAUUCCACUGGAACUUAUAAGGUGGUAGCAUUCUCUAAUGAUAUGCAACCUGGUUUUCAAAGCAUGGUUAAAGUUCACAGCAUAAGGGAUAAUUCUUGGAGAAAUAUUCAAUGCUUCUAUCGUAAGUUUGCUAGUAGAGACAACAAUGGUGUGUAUUUGAGUGGUACUAUUACCUGGUUGGCCCUUCGCAAUUACUAUAAUGUAAACAUUGAGAAAUAUGUGAUUGUUUCGCUCGAUCUCUCGACUGAGACAUACACUCGACUGAUUCUACCUCGAGGAUUUAAGAAGGUGCCCUGUUCACUACCAAAACUUGUGGUUUUGACGGACUGUCUUUGUUUUUGUCAUGAUUUGGAGGAAAACCAUUUUGUUAUAUGGAUGAUGAAGGAUUUUGGAGUUCAAGAGUCUUGGAUUCAAUUAUUUAAAAUUAGUUAUCGGAGUUUCUCUUCAUGCUACAAAUUUCGUGGAAUGAGUUCUAUCUUUCCAUGGUUGAAUUUGAUCCCAUUGGGUCUUUCUAAGAAUGGUAACAUCCUGAUAUUGGCAAAAGUGGAAGACCUAAAGGCAUUUAUCUAUAACUGCAGAAACAAUAUAGUGGAAAGUAUGGUUUUGACUCAUUAAAAGUGAGUUUCUCUUCCACAUAUUACUUGAUUGAAUUAAUGUUUAUCUAUAACUGCAAAUGGACAUGAUGUUAUGAAAUUGAAAGUCAAUCAAAUAUAUAAUGUAUUUGCCUAAUAUUGAUACUUGAUUAAUUGGAUUGGUUGUGCUUGUGUUUUGUCACUUUACACUUACGUAUCACAUGAACUUUUGCAGAUAUUACUUCUUGUAUGGACUUGUGGACAAUAUGGAAAGACAGGUAUAGAAGGUGGCUGCUACAAUUGAAGAUGGUAUUGACUAGAAUGUGAUAUUUUCUUCGUUAAGAUCAUUUAAGUCUUAGUUAAUGGUUUCUUUUGAAUUUGCUAAAAACAUGUAAUUGAAGAAGAACAAUUCUUGUGUUGUCACUUGCUGUGUUAGUUACAUUGGAGUAUUAAAAUAAUGCAAAAUUGUUCAAUUCUUACAUUUGGAAAUUAUGUAGUGUAUUUAUGAUUGAUUUUUUAUCAUCUAUUAUCUAUAAUAUUUUACAAUGCCAUCUCCACACUUCAUUUUGUUAUUGCAUCUCAGAAUGAGCCUAGCCAUCACAAUUAACAAGUGUUAUUCAAUAAAUAUUGUACAGUACAGUGUUUAUUUGAUAGAUAUUCUUCAGCGAUUUAAUACAAUUUAUAACUCCCUAGAUUGCUAAAUUUUCUCUAAGCUAACCGUAAACUAUUUUUUAUGUCUGAUAUCUAACCAUAAAUUAUAUGGACAUGGUCUAAAAGAAACAUGAGAGCGAGCGACUUAGUGAGAGAGAGAUGAUUGGUCGCGGUCUUACCACGAAUAGUCACGCUGGAGGUGAGGUCAAUUUGGGGGGGGGGGAUAGGGAUGAUUGGUUUGAUGUGAGUCCGCGACGUAGGAAAGCAUUGCGACAGGUUGAUCGAAGUCAGGACAGGCAGCAGGAGAACAACUGGCGCAGGGAUUGGGAUGAUUUUGACAAUGGACAGUCUAGGUUUAGGGAUUCGCGGGAGGAACUCGGUGAUUACGACGACCGGUUUUACUACUCGGAUAGGUAUCAAGAUCGAAAAGGGAUUGCUCCUGGGGAACAGCGCGAUGUUAACACAAGGGAAGAAGUAGUGGAGCGGCGCGGUUCAGGGGGACAACAGAAGGUGCUCCGCAACGCUGCUAUCUGUGUUCUUACGAUUGAAAGCAGGUAGGGACAGAACGCGAACUUAGCAGCUGAUCGCACAUCUCAACAACUUGCGACAAUACCAUCAAGUAAUGAGACUGCAAUUGGUUCAAAUUUCAAACGGUUCGUAACUUUUUACUUUACAAACUUUCCAGCUCAAUUAUCGAAUUUCUAUUUACGGAAGGGUUUUGAAGUGUGUGGUAUGUUAGAGGAUGUGGUGGUUCCUAGUAAACGUAACGUUUAUGGGGAACUUAAUGGUUUUGUUCGAUAUGUUAAAGAUGUAAGUUAUUGAAAGCGGUGAAUGCAGUUUGUUAUUGGUAAUUUUCGUGUGAAUGCGAAGGUUGCGAGAUUUGAUAGGUCUGCUAAUAAGUUGUUGGUGAGGGAGGGUGAGGGUGAGGGAGUGACAGUUGAAGGAAAGGGGAAGAAAGGAGUAGUUGAGGGAGAAAAAAAGCUCAGGUGAGGGUGGCAUAGUUACGGGCGUUGGAGGGGGGAAGGUGUUGGAUAUGGUGACGGUGGAGGGUGAGGGUGUGGAAGGGACUUCCGUGGUAAGGGUAGGGGAGGUGCGGGUGCCUUUGGAGAGGGUGAAGGGGAAGGGGAUUGAUAUGGUGGAUGAGGGAGCCGUAUUGGUUAGGAAGGGAGGUGACGUAGGGGAUGUUCUGAAGAAGCAGCAGGUACCAUGUAGUCAGGUAGGGCGACAACGUUCAAUCCAAAAACUAUUAAGGAUGUAUAGGUCCCAAGGGGAUGACUUGUUAUGGGCUCGCAAUGGCUGCACGGAAACCGUGACAAAUGGUGAGGUUAUUCCCGUGGUUCAAAAUUGAAUUGAAGACACAAGUUUUGAAGAUUUAGAAGUGAUACCUUUGGGUGCAGAUAGAUUAUUUCUACAUAACUCUUCAGGUGUCGAUUUCUCAUUAAUUAUUGAAGGUGCCCGUGAUUUUUUUGCUCAUUUCUUUACUAAUAUUUGGAGAUGGGAUAAGGAAGUGACUACGUUUCAGAGAGGUGCUUGGCUGAGAUUGUAUGGUAUCCCGUUACAUGCAUGAAAUGAAUCCUUUUUCAAACUAUGUGUUCUUGAUUGUGGCAGAUUUUUAAGGACUGAUAGUUGUUCGGUGGAUAAAGUCAAGUUUGAUUAUGCCCGUGUGUUGAUUCCGACGUCCUCUCUGAAGGUCGUCAAUUGUGCGAAAAAGCUUGUUGUUGAUGGAGAUAUUGUUGAUAUAAAAAUUGUUGAGGAGUGGGGCUUCAACAUUGGUGAAGAUGCAUGUCUGUUUGAACCUGACGAUGGAACGCAUUCUUCGCAUUCUAAUCAUGAUGACAUUGGUGGGGAAGCAGAGCAUAAUGGUGUUGAUACUGAUUUUUUGGUUGACAAAAUUGUGAAUGAGCUGGUUGAUGCUAGUAAGGAAGUGUCUCAGGAGCCCGUGAUUGUGGGUAAGGUAACUAGUGAAGAUAUAGAUGAGAAUGUUGUGCAGCCAAUUAGUGUCACUGUUGAUGUAGCCGCACCAAUUGUGGCGCGCACUAUUACAUGUGUUCCAUAAAAACAUACAGACUCUAACAACUGCAACACGGUUUUUGAUCAUGGUCCGGAGAUGUCUAUUCUUGAUUUUGAGGCCCGCAAUCAUAAUGAAGCUACUCAGGUUUUUGUUAAGAAUGACUAUGUUGUGUCAGUACAGCCACAACGUCAGUCUUAGUGAAUGGAAGUCCUACAGAUGAGUUCCCGUUAUUGAGGGGAUUAAGGCAAGGUGAUCCUUUGUCUCGUUUUUUGUUCUUGUUGGCGGCGGAGGGCCUUAAUAUUUUGAUGAAAUCAUUGUUUGACACUCAAUUAUUUACUGGUUAUAGCAUUGGGGAGGUCAAUCCGAUUGUUGUGUCUCACCUUCAGUUUGCUGACGACACUUUGUUAUUGGGAACUAGCGAAUGUCUGCACCCUAAGGGUGGUUAUGGUGAUUUUUGAGGAAAUGUCGAGAUUGAAGGUAAAUUUUCAUAAGAGUAUGCUUGUUGGUGUUAACAUUGCCACCUCUUGGUUAAACGAGAUUGUGUUCGUGUUGAGUUGUAAAGUGGGAAAAGUGCCUUUCUUGUAUAUGGGUCUACCUAUUGGAGGUAAUAUUCGGAGAUUGUGUUUUUGGGAACCUAUUGUGAAUCGUAUUAAAUCUAGACUGUCAAGUUGGAUUAGUCGUUUUCUCUCUUUUUGGCGGCCGCUUGGUUCUUCUCAAAUCUGUCUUGACUUAUCUGCCUCUCUAUGCACUUUCUUUCUUCAAAGCUCCAUCAGGUAUAAUCUCUUCUAUUGAAUCUUUAUUGAAUAAAUUUUUUUAGGGUGGGGGUGAUGAUCAUAGGAAAAUAUAUUGGAUUGGAUGGACUAGUGUUUGCCUUCAAAAGGAGUAUGGAGGGUUGAGGGUUAGACAGUUGAAGGAAUUUAAUGUUGCCUUAUUGUGGAAAUGGUGCUAGAGGAUAUUAGUGGAUAGGGGUGGUUUUUGGUAUAGAAUUUUAGUCGCCCGUUAUGGCGAGGUAGGUGGGAGGUUGGGGGCCAGAGUUGUUCUUCGUGGUGGAGGGAGGUGGGGAGGAUUAUGGAUGGGGGCGGUGAUGUGGGUGGUUGGUUUCAGGAGUAUGUGUCGAAAAAGGUGGGGGAUGGAACUGACACAUUGUUUUGGUUUGAUAAAUGGUUGGGGUCAGUUCCUUUGUGUGUGCGUUUCCGCAUGGUGUUUGAGUUAUUUGAAAACAAAUCCAUCACGGUGGCUCAUUUGUUUUCUCCCCAAUUAUGGAAAACAUUAACAUCAGAUAUGUUAAAGACCUUAUUCUUACUAAAACUCCAGGCUGGAACUUUACUAUCCUUAAUGAGCAUUUUCUACCCAUAGACUAUAAUAGUGUAAUGCAAAUUCCUCUCAUUAAUACUUAAAAUCAGGAUGAGCUUAUGUGGAUGGGGGAUCAACAAGGGUAUUACACUGUUAAAAGUGGGUAUUUAGCCUUACAAAAUUGGAAAAAGGAAGAUGCUGACAACCCCUCUACUAGUGACCCUAAUUUAUCUACUUGGAAAAAAUUUGGGCUUUAAACACAAUUCCCAGACACAAAAUGUUAAUUUGGAGAAUUCUGAAUAGAGCCCUUCCUCUUAGAAGUGAGCUAGAAAAAAGGGGAAUCCAUUGUUCCCCUCUCUGUCCAAGAUGCAAUGCAAAGCUAGAGACAUCAAUGCACACCUUCAUGUCCUACCCUAUGAUUACCAGAACAUGAUUUGGUUAAAACCUCGAACUAGAGAUUCUGAACCAACUCUAUCUGACUUCUCUGAUUGGCUAAGUAAUAUUAUCCAGAACGAAAACGAGGGUAUUGCUAUACAAGUUGCAGAUAUAACCUAUUAUAUUUGGUUUACACGUAACCUCGGCUUUUUUUAGUCUAGAAUUUUACUUGAGAUGGAAAUCAUCAAGCGAGCCCUCACCAGCAUCUCCGAUUAUCAAGCGACCAAUCAACAUAUUAGCAAUCUGGAUCUUCAACCUUCUUUCGCUCAUCGUCUCCAGAAGCUCCCUUGCAGCACCAGACUCGUCCAGUAGAAGGCUUGUUGAAGGUGAAUAGUGAUGCUAAUCUCCAAGAGCAAGGAUGGUGGAGUUUAGGUACAGUGAUUCGAGAUUCUCAAGGAUUGAUUAUGGCAGCAGCGACUUGGAAAGUCACUGGUUCGGAAAACGCAGCCAUGGCGAAAGCUUUUGGCAUUCUUGCAACUAUGAUUUUUUGCUUUCGAGUGUGGUUUUCCUAGAUUAGUCUUUGAAGGAGAAAAUGAAACGAUUAUACGCAGGAUUCAAAAUGACAAGUUAGUAGAUAGAUCUUAUCUUGGAGAGACCAUAAAGGGAAUCCGGAAGGUACAAUCUGGCUUUGACAUGUGUAGUUUUAACUUUAUCCAUAGAGAUAGUAAUAUUGUGGCUCACAUUCUGGUCCAAUUAGCCUUGAUCGACCCAAAUAAGGUCUGGUUAGAGGAGGUACCCCCUCCUAUUACUGAUGUAUACUUCCA
rnacentral:lncRNA from 1 species